rnacentral:rRNA from 1 species
UACGUAGGGCGCAAGCGUUGUCCGGAAUUAUUGGGCGUACAGAGCUCGUAGGUGGCUUGUCACGUCGGGUGUGAAAGCUUGGGGCUUAACUCCAGGUCUGCAUUCGAUACGGGCUGGCUAGAGGUAGGUAGGGGAGAACGGAAUUCCUGGUGUAGCGGUGAAAUGCGCAGAUAUCAGGAGGAACACCGGUGGCGAAGGCGGUUCUCUGGGCCUUACCUGACGCUGAGGAGCGAAAGCGUGGGGAGCGAACAGG